rnacentral:rRNA from 1 species
UACGGGGGGGGCAAGCGGUUGUUCGGAAUUACUGGGCGUAAAGGGCUCGUAGGUGGCCAACUAAGUCAGACGUGAAAUCCCUCGGCUUAACCGGGGAACUGCGUCUGAUACUGGAUGGCUUGAGUUCGGGAGAGGGAUGCGGAAUUCCAGGUGUAGCGGUGAAAUGCGUAGAUAUCAAGAGGAACACCUGCGGCGAAGGCGGGUUGCUGGGCCGACACUGACGCUGAGGCGCGAAAGCGUGGGGAGCGAACAGG